UUUUUACUUAUAUUUUUGAAUUAUUUCGUUAACUACCUCAACUUUUAGUUGAUAUGUAAUGUUAUCUCAUCAUAAUAUUGCAUUAGUUUAGAGAAAUUCCCAAUACAGAUUGGUUUGAAUGCACUCAUCAAAUUUUCUAUACCUUGAUCUUCCUUGCACCUUCUAAAUUGAACCGCCCAUAGUAUUUGUUUGAAUUCAAUGAUUUGCAAGUUUGAUGGCUUAGUAAUCAGACUGCAAGUGUAUGCCAUUUUCUUAAUAAGAUUUUGGUUGGGUUGUGUCAUCCAACUAGUAAUACUGAGAGGGAGUAAUAUUAUAGCUUUUGAAAAUACAAAAAACCAAGUGAAAAUUUCAAAGAAUCUUAACAGAGUCCUAUUACAAAAAGAAGAAAAGGCAUAUAAAAGGAGAAUAAUGUUUCCUCCUAAAAUGAAUAAAACAAAAAUGAGAUAAAUCUGUUGAAUAUUCAACUGAAUGCCUGACUAAACAACUCCUCUAAAAGCUCAUCACAUGACCAAAGGAAAACCAAUAAAAAUAAAAAUGUCUAGAGUAACUGCACAUGCACAGACUGGUUGAUGCAGUAUUAGAAGAUACAAUUUAGAAAUUACGUUCCAUGUAAAAUUAGUAAUAGAAGAUUUCAAUUAUUUAGGAAUAUUUAUAGAGU
rnacentral:misc_RNA from 1 species